UUUUUUUGUAAGGUUGGUUAAGCUGGGGCGGCGUCUUAUAUUCCUAAGUAAUUAAAACAUUAAUUCAUGAGUGAAAAGAUCUUAAAAAAAAGUAGAUCAAAUUACUUUAGGGAUAACAGCACAAUUUUUUCAUAUAGAUCUUAUAGAAGAAAAAGA
rnacentral:rRNA from 1 species